CCUACGGGAGGCAGCAGUGGGGAAUUUUGGACAAUGGGCGCAAGCCUGAUCCAGCAAUGCCGCGUGCAGGAUGAAGGCCUUCGGGUUGUAAACUGCUUUUGUACGGAACGAAAAGGCUCUGGCUAAUACCUGGGGCUGAUGACGGUACCGUAAGAAUAAGCACCGGCUAACUACGUGCCAGCAGCCGCGGUAAUACGUAGGGUGCGAGCGUUAAUCGGAAUUACUGGGCGUAAAGCGUGCGCAGGCGGUUUUGUAAGACAGGGGUAAAAUCCCCGGGCUUAACCGGGGAACUGCAUUUGUGACUGCAGGGCUGGAGUACGGCAGAGGGGGAUGGAAUUCC
rnacentral:rRNA from 1 species